rnacentral:rRNA from 1 species
CGCGGCCUAUCAGCUUGUUGGUGAGGUAAUGGCUCACCAAGGCGACGACGGGUAGCCGGCCUGAGAGGGUGACCGGCCACACUGGGACUGAGACACGGCCCAGACUCCUACGGGAGGCAGCAGUGGGGAAUAUUGCACAAUGGGCGCAAGCCUGAUGCAGCAACGCCGCGUGAGGGACGACGGCCUUCGGGUUGUAAACCUCUUUUAGUAGGGAAGAAGCGAAAGUGACGGUACCUGCAGAAAAAGCACCGGCUAACUACGUGCCAGCAGCCGCGGUAAUACGUAGGGUGCAAGCGUUGUCCGGAAUUAUUGGGCGUAAAGAGCUCGUAGGCGGUCUGUCGCGUCUGCUGUGAAAACCCGAGGCUCAACCUCGGGCCUGCAGUGGGUACGGGCAGACUAGAGUGCGGUAGGGGAGAAUGGAAUUCCUGGUGUAGCGGUGGAAUGCGCAGAUAUCAGGAGGAACACCGAUGGCGAAGGCAGUUCUCUGGGCCGUAACUGACGCUGAGGAGCGAAAGCGUGGGGAGCGAACAGGAUUAGAUACCCUGGUAGUCCACGCCGUAAACGUUGGGCGCUAGAUGUGGGGACCAUUCCACGGUUUCCGUGUCGCAGCUAACGCAUUAAGCGCCCCGCCUGGGGAGUACGGA